rnacentral:sRNA from 1 species
UACUUGCCUAAAAACCAAACUUUUUCAC